CCUACAUGAAGCUGGAGUUACUAGUAAUCGCAGAUCAGAAUGCUGCGGUGAAUGCGUUCCCGGGUCUUGUACACACCGCCCGUCACACCACGGAAGUUGGGGGCGCCCGAAGCCACUUAGCUAACCCCUUUGGGAAGCGAGUGUCGAAGGUGAAAUCAAUAACUGGGGUGAAGUCGUAACAAGGUAGC
rnacentral:rRNA from 1 species